GAUGACCGCUAGCGGCAGGCUUAAUAUAUGCAAGUCGAGGGGGCAGCAAUGUCACCGGCGAACGGGUGCGUAACGCGUCUGCAACCUACCUCUAAUCGGGGGAUAGCCCUUGGAGACUGGGAUUAACACCGCAUAACAUAUGACAAGGGAUUUCGGUACAUUGAAAUAUUUAUAUGAAGUAGAUGGGCAUGCGUAGGAUUAGCUAGUUGGUAAGGUAACGGCUUACCAAGGCUACGAUCCUUAUGGGCUCUGAGAGGAGUAUCCCCCACACUGGCACUGAGAUACGGGGCAGAGUCCUACGGGAGGCAGCAGUAGGGGAUAUUGGGCAAUGGAGGCAACUCUGACCCAGCCAUGCCGCGUGCAGGAAGACGGUCCUCUGGAUUGUAAACUGCUUUUGAAUGGGAAGAAUGUGUGGCUUGCGAGCUAUAAUGACGGUACCAUUGGAAUAAGCCACGGCUAACUACGUGCCAGCCGCCGCCGUAA
rnacentral:rRNA from 1 species